AUGCCAGCAGCAACUGUAGACGAUAGCCAAAGAAUUUGUGAAGGUUGGGCUUGCAACCUGGAUGAAGAGAUGAAGAAAAUUCAUCAAGUUAUUCGAAAAUACAAUUACGUUGCUAUGGACACCGAGUUUCCAGGUGUGGUUGCAAGACCCAUUGGAGAAUUCAGGAGCAACGCUGACUAUCAGUACCAACUAUUGCGAUGUAAUGUAGACUUGUUAAAGAUAAUUCAGCUAGGACUGACAUUUAUGAAUGACCAAGAAUACCCUCCAGGAACUUCAACUUGGCAAUUUAAUUUUAAAUUUAAUUUGAAGGAGAACAUGUAUGUCCAGGACUCUAUAGAACUACUAAAAACAUUUGAUAUCCAGUUUAAGAAACAGGAGGAGGAAGGAAUUGAGAGCCAGUACUCUGAGAACUUCUUAUUACUUCAGGAGUGGUCCUCUGUGAAGGAGUCAAGUGGUUGUCAUUUUGUAAUGGUUAUGACUUUGGCUAUCUAAUCAAAAUCCUGACCAACUCUAACUUGCCUGAAGAAGAACUUGACUUCUUUGAGUUCCUACGAUUAUUUUUUCCUAUCAUUUAAGAUGUGAAGUACUUCAUGAAGAGCUGCAAAAAUCUUAAAGUUGGACUAUAAGAAGUUGCUGAACAGUUAGAGCUGGAACGGAUAGGACCACAACAUCAGGCAAGAUCUGAUUCAUUGCUCACAGGAAUGGCCUUUUUCAAAAUGAGAGAAAUGUUCUUUGAAGAUCAUAUUGAUGAUGCCAAAUAUUGUGGUCAUUUGUAUGGCCUUGGUUCUGGUUCAUCCUAUGUACAGAAUGCCACAGGGAAUGCAUAUGAAGAGGAAGCCAAUAAGCAGCCAUGACAUGAAAUAGUCCUUUAGUUUUUAUUUUAUUUGAGCUACACACAUGCUUGUGUAUAGGUUUUAUCUAUGGUUGAAUCCUUGAACAGUAGACAGCACCUUUCUUUUUUCCUUUUUAUGGCCCAUUUUAUUUUCUGCCUUUCAGUAUUAAGUAUGACCAUUCCUAACUCAGAUCUUA